rnacentral:lncRNA from 1 species
AUUUUUUAAUGACCAUGUUUUAAGGGGAAAAAUAUCCAGCAUAGUUCUUCCUUUCCAGCUUUAUCGAUGAGAAAAGCAAGACAUAAUUUUUAAUAAGUGAAUAGUUGUGUGGUUUGCCAUGUUUAAUAUACAUCUCAUGAAUGGACACAAUAUCCUGUGAAGUAUAAAUCCUUUUAUCUUCAUUUUACCCUUAUUUAUAAGAAGCUGAGAGGUAAAGGGAUUAUAUACAGCUUGAGAAUAGAAAAGCUGAAUUCAACCCAGGUGGGCUUGUUCCAAAACCCGUAUUAUUUUCACCACACCAGCUGUCACCCAGUUCCCAAAUGAUCUUCCAGAGAAGCCCCUUUACCCCUGCUUUUGAUUUCCCAGAGUUCUUGCUUCAAAUUGGCUUUGAGAGGCCAAGGCUGCCUUUUAGGGGGAAAAAACCCACAAGAGUUUAUAGUCUAUCUUAUUUUGAAUACCCAACAAAUAUUAACCUUUGGAGAAGGAUUAUUUCUGCCCUUGCUCCUCUUCCUAGAACAGAGAGUGUACUGAGCCUAGGAUAAUAGCAUCUAGUAAUAGGACACAGGGUGAAGAAAGAGGCAGGCUCUUCUGGGACAGCACAGAGGGAGCGUUAUACUUGGCACUGGACAAUCUGGCCGCCUUGUAAAUGCUUCACUGGCAGGGUCCAAGGUGAACCUGCAUCCCCGUUCCCAGUGGCCCACCCAGAAGAAAUUCAAUGAAUUAACAAAUGAGAAGUGGGUCAACCUUCCUCCAAGAGUGGGGUAAUCUAAAGGAUUAAAGGUACCAAGGGCAGUGGAGGAGGGAGUAGAGAGAAUGUCCAAAGGGAGAAAAUAGCUUUUAACUUUCUAACUGCAAAAUAGGCAAUACUAAGGCAUAACGUUAAACACUUAGAUGAAAGGGCCUAUCUCUAAUCAGUUGCUGGGAGAGACCAAAGAAAUAGGGGAGCCAUUGGCUCUGGGCUUGGUCUGAGUUGGAAUGUACAUCUCAAACCCAAAGUAUAGGAUUGUUUGACACAUGUCGAGUCUUGUUUCACAUUGAUCCCCAGUGUGUAAGUGACUGACUGACGCUAAGUUACCAAUAGAUUUUACCACUCAUCUCUUCUCAUCCUGGUUUAUUUUAGUUUAUUUUCUGAACAGGUGGAGCAUUAACAUGCUUCCAGAAGUCAAAACUAUAUAAAGGAUAUACUCCGAGAAGUAUUCCUCCCUUCUGUACCCACUCCAUCUUGUUCCUCCUAGCCAGCUCUUGAAGAGUCGGAAAUUCACUCUAAACAGGAGAAGCAGCAAUGAGAACUUCAAGAAGAGAUAUAAGCUCAUCCAAGAUCAACUGCAGAGGAGGACGAGGGAAAUUUUAUAUGGGAACAAUUAUCUGAAAAAUAGAAUGUCCUCAUUUGUAUGGUCAAGGCUGGGUUGCAGAGAAGUCCAUGUUGCAGCUCAUGGAAAAAAAGAACCAAAGGGACUCAAGAACACUGGCUUAUGUCUUAGAUUGGAGAUGACCUGGAAAGUCAACUUUCACCCAUAACCCAUUGGCCUAAAACAAUAGAAGGCAACUGGAAAAGAGGCAAGGAUUCUAACUACAUACUGCAGAAAAAAUAUUCACACCUGUCAAAUUCCAACAGCUGGCAUUGUUGUUGUUCUACGAAUAAGCACACACAGAAUCCUCGUGAAUAGUUCUUUGUCUCUUGCUCUAGUAAAUCAUAACCUGCUUGUAGCUUUUUUAUGAACCUUCAGGAAUAACUCUUCAGAGGAUGCUAAUACAUCAUUAAGAUUAAAUUGAACCUCAAAGGUGGGUUUUUUUUCCAAAAUGAUAAAGGCCACCAACACUGCAAGGUUUGCCGUCAUUCCCUUGAUCUGGUAAGUGACACCGUCUUCAGGGUUUGUGUACUCAAAGAUAUGAUUAAUAAAACGGUGACCAAGACGUGUGACGUAAUGCUGGUCAUGGACCUGUGGAUGCAGGAAAUAGGCCAGAGGCACCAGGAAUACAUCCUUAACUUCAGCAGGAUUCGGCUGGGCCUGGAAGUUGUGGUCUAUUAAACCCACAAAUGGAGUUAUCAAUGUAUCUGUCUAAAAGCAGAAAACAAAACAGACAAAUUAAGAAGUGAAGUGAUACUGCUUCAAAUCCUAAAAUCAUGCCACUUCUAGGUGAGCUAAGAAAAUACACCGAACCUGGGAGAAGGGGAAGAAAGCUUAUUCCGGAAACAAAUUUAUGUUCCCCCUAAAAUGGGAGUCAUCCUGCUCUACCUGAGGUGACAUCUAUGAGAUGACUCUGAAAAUGAUUUCUUGUAUGAACAUAAAGUAGUACAAUCUUUUGGAAUGGCAAUUUGGCAGUAUCAUAAAAAUGUGUUCGCUUUGACCUGGGAAUUGCAUUUGUGUAUCUGUAUGAUAAAUUCCUACCAGUAAGAAAAGACACAAGUAUAAACCUGAAGAAUUAGUUUCAACAACAGCCCCAAAUUCUAAAGUUAUCACUCUUCACUUUAUAGGCAUUUAGGUUAUAUAAAUUAGGGUUAUAUCCAUAAAAGAGGAUACUAUGUAGCCUUUAAAAACAAUGGGAUAGACAUCUUUCCUUCUCAGUAAAGAAAAAAAUGUGCUAUACUUAUGAACAGAAAAGUAAAGUGAUAUAAUACUAGUUAUGACAUAUUCCCAUUUAUGGAAAAAUUUCAUAGUACAUACACAUAUAUAUAUAAUUAUGUGUCUUAUAUAUAACUAUAUGUGAACUACUUUAUAUAACACACAUGUAUAUAUUACAUGGGAGAGGGAUUUCUAUUUACAACCACAACUGCUUGCAAAUGAACAUGAGUGGCCGGGUGUGGUGGCUCACGCCUGUAAUCCCAGCACUUUGGGAGGCUGAGGUGGGCGGACCACCUGAGGUCAGGAGUUUGAGACCAGCCUAGCCAACAUGAUGAAAUCCCGUCUCUACUAAAAAUACACAAAUUAGCCGGGUGUGGUGGUGCGUGCCUGUAAUCCCAGCUACUCAGGAGGCUGAGGCAGGAGAAUUGCUUGAACUUGGGAGGCGGAGAUAGAUUGCAGUGAGCCGAGAUCAUGCCACUGCACUCCAGCCUGGGUGACAGAGAGAGGCCCAGUCUCAAAAAUAAAAAUAAAUAUAUAAAAGUAAAAAAGCAAAUGAACAUGAGUGUUGUCAAAUGAAAGACUGUUUUGUUAUACUGGAAACCCUGAGAGGGAGGCCUGGGGCUGAGUGAGGAUGUGGGAACUGGUAAGAGCUGCCUGCCUUUGUAUUAGAAAGUGAGAAGAACUGGAAUUCCUGGAGCAUCCCAAGAGGAAGUGGGUGGAAAAAGCCAGAGAGGUAGACACAUGGUGAGGCUGGGACCUAUCCGGCCUGCAGAAUGUUCUGAGGGACAGCCAAAGACAGGAAACCAAAUUUAGGAACAGAGACAACUCAGACCAUUAACCAAAAUAAUAGUGAAAGUCAACAUUUGGACCAGGAGGAGACAAGAGGAACAUAGACUUCGUAUGUCCUUGGGGCAGGAAAUUUGGGGUCAUUAAGUUACCCGAGGGCAGAGGCAACAUUCUACCAGCACGUAACACCACACCUGGCAUUGGGGAAAUGCUUAGUCUCUGAAUAUGGAGUUUUCCAGGUGGACUCUGAGAUAAGGACUCAGAUGCAAGUGAUUUUUUAAGAAAGUGCUCCCAGGGGAAACAGUUAAGGGGAAGAGGGGAGCAAUACUCAUAAGGGAAGAAGGCUGGCAAGGGCACCAUGGGGUGUUCUGGAGGGUAAAUUAAUAUGCAGUUUGUCCCACAUGGAGACAAGGGAGCUGGGAUUUCAUGCUCCCCAGCCCCAGUCAGUCACUGGUUAAGGACUACCUUGCCAGAGGUGAAUUCACAGGCACUCCCAGCUCUCUGUGCAGGACACAUGGCAAGGUGGCUCCAGUAUCAAGGGUACCAGUAUUCAGAAGAAAGCUGCCAAGUGUUGUCAGAGGCGUUUGAACCAGAGCAACUCCAUCUUGAAUAGGGGCUGGGUAAGAUAAGGCUUGGAGCUACUGGGCUGCAUUCCCAGGAGGUUAGGGCAUGCUUAGUCACCAGAUGAGACUGAGAUACAAGUCAUAAAGACCUUACAGUAAAGAAGGCCAUCAAAACGCACCAAAACCAAGAUGGCAAUGAAAGUAACCUCUGGUCAUCCUCACUGCUCAUUAUACGAUAAUUAGAAAGCAUUAGAAUGUUAAAAGAUACUCCCACUAGUGCCAUGACAGAUUACAAAUGCCACGGCAAUGUCAGGAAGUUACCCUACAUGGUCUAAAAAUGGGAGGAACUCUCACCUCUGGGAAUUGCCCAUCCCUUUCCUGGAAAACUCAUGAAUAACCCACCCCUUGUUUAGCAUAUGAUCAAGAAAUAACCAUAAAAAUGGCCAACCAGCAGCACAUGCUGUUGCUCUGUUAUGGAAUAGCCAUUCUUUUUUUUCUUUACUUCUCUAAUAAACUUGCUUUCACUUUAUGGACUCACCCUGUGAGAUCCUAGAACCCUCUCUUAGGGUCUGGAUCAGGCCCCCUAUCUGGUAACAGUGAGUUAUCAGAAGCCCUGGGGUUGUAAGAGGAAUAUGAAGGGGCCUGGACAGAGCCCCAACAAUGUAUGCUCAGUAAAUAUUCGUGGUUGCUGCUACCAUUGGUGACCACAACUUACGGGCACCUAGUCUAGUUCCCAGCACCCUCUGAUUCCUUACAACAAUCUGAUCGCGAAGAAGCCUUAACAACUACAAUUAGAGACGUGAAGAAACUUGCCCAAGGGCAUAUUCUGCUGAUACUUGGCAGAAACUGGAUUCGACCACAGAUGUGUUGCUCAUACUCCUGGGUAUAUUUCAGAGACCUUUGCAAAAAGUAGUACAUAAAUGUCUGACAAAAGGGAAAACUGGGGUGGGGGUUGUGGUGUCACAGCCUGCCUGGAAGGCUUAUGUAGCGGGUACAUACAUAGGUGCAUACAUACAUAGGUAGCUACUCUGGAGGCUGAGGCAGGAGAAUUGCUUGAACUUGGGAGGUGGAGGUUGCAGUGAGCUGAGAUCACUGGGACUCGAGAUCACUUGAGAAAAGCCAAUAGCACCCUUCCACUCCCAGCUAUGAUCUCCAGACAUUACCAAAUUCCCCAGGGUUGAAAAAUCACUCCAGGUUAAGAGCCACGUAGAUUAGAUUAUGCUUAUAAUUUUCAAUAAAUGGCAUUUUUGUGAUACAUUUUAAAAAUUAGCAGGGGCCAAAAAACAAAGCAACCCUCCCUUGCACUUCCAAACAAAGCAGACUUUUUAAAGCCUUUGUUUAAUCUCUCAAUCACGCCAUUUUAGAAAUCUCCUGUUCCAGGAGUAUCUGGCCCCCAGGAAUCUCCCAGAGACACUUUCCUGUUAAUGCUCCUGAAUUCUAUCCACCCACAUGCAGAACUCAGUAGCACCUGGGGACCUUGGGAACAGAGUUAGUCUCAUUUUGGAAACUUUUAAUCAGUAUAGCUAAAUUAGUUAAUUGAUUUCUAAAGUAAAUCCUCCAAAUGCUGGUGGAUUUGCGGAAAUCAACUGUAAAGAGUUCCCAUUAGAAAACCAAAUGGAAAAGUAAUUGACACAUUUCGUGUGUAAUCCCAUGUCUCCAUCUCGCUUUCAUACACACACACUUAGAAAACAUUUAUUGAGUGGCCACUAGCUUUUUGCAAACAAAACCACCCUUGGGUACUGACCUUUCUAUUUUUAAAAAGGACCCAAUUAAGACAGACAUUGUCUCAGCAUCACUGAUCUUCAAAACACUGCCCCACCAAGACUUCAGUCAAGUGGAACAUAAAGGAUCAUCUAACCCACUGGUUUUCUAAGUGUUAGGCAACAGUGGGACU